GACGAACGCUGGCGGCGUGCUUAACACAUGCAAGUCGAACGGAAAGGCCCUGCUUUUGUGGGGUGCUCGAGUGGCGAACGGGUGAGUAACACGUGAGUAACCUGCCCUUGACUUUGGGAUAACUUCAGGAAACUGGGGCUAAUACCGGAUAGGAGCUCCUGCUGCAUGGUGGGGGUUGGAAAGUUUCGGCGGUUGGGGAUGGACUCGCGGCUUAUCAGCUUGUUGGUGGGGUAGUGGCUUACCAAGGCUUUGACGGGUAGCCGGCCUGAGAGGGUGACCGGCCACAUUGGGACUGAGCAACGGCCCAGACUCCUACGGGAGGCAGCAGUGGGGAAUAUUGCACAAUGGGCGGAAGCCUGAUGCAGCAACGCCGCGUGCGGGAUGACGGCCUUCGGGUUGUAAACCGCUUUCGCCUGUGACGAAGCGUGAGUGACGGUAAUGGGUAAAGAAGCACCGGCUAACUACGUG
rnacentral:rRNA from 1 species